AAGUGAAACACCAAGCAGGACAGAAGUGAAUUCAUUGGCCUGACACUCAAAUUGUUGGUGAAAAGGAAUGUUUCCCUGGAAUUAAGCUGCCACUGGGCAAAGGUCAAGGCACAGGGCAGCUGGAUGUUUGUGUGGAUCCUGCAAAUGGAGAGGCUCCGUCUGCUGUGGAAACAAAAUGGAACUUAACCUCAGCUGAAACAGUGGUGGAGAGCAGAGGGAUUUUCUAAAUCAUUAAGUUUUUUAUUUUACUUACGUGAAGCCAUACACACAGCCUGAGGCACUGACAUUUUCAUCAGUCUUUGAUGACCUAGUGGUUGAGCUUUUUUGAGGACUGUAGUCAUGAGCUCCAGCUGCUCAUCUUUGCCUGACUCUCCAGUCAAGGGCCUGCUGUGCUA